UUUUCGCGUUAAGGAUAGCAGCGGAAAUCCUUUUGAGGAACGAAAAAGAUUGCAGCGGAUAGCCUGACCCGAA
rnacentral:sRNA from 1 species